rnacentral:tRNA from 1 species
GCAGUGGUAGUUUGGUGGUAGAAUUCUUGUCUCCCGUGCAGGAGACCUGGGUUCGAUUCACAGCCAAUGCA